rnacentral:sRNA from 1 species
GCUGGGUGUGGUGGCGCACGCCUGUAAUCCCAGAGGCUCAGGAGGCUGAGGCAGGAGGAUCUCAAGUUCAAAGGUAGCCUCAGCAAAAGUGAGGCCCUAAGCAACUCAGUAAGACCCUGGCUCUA